rnacentral:rRNA from 1 species
GACGAACGCUGGCGGCGUGCUUAACACAUGCAAGUCGAACGGUGAAGCGCCUUCCUUUUUGGUGGGUGUGGAUGAGUGGCGAACGGGUGAGUAACACGUGAGUAACCUGCCCCCUUCUUCUGGAUAACCGCAUGAAAGUGUGGCUAAUACGGGAUAUUCUGGGUCUGUCGCAUGAUGGGUCUGGGAAAGAUAUUGUUUCGGUGGGGGAUGGGCUCGCGGCCUAUCAGCUUGUUGGUGGGGUGAUGGCCUACCAAGGCGGUGACGGGUAGCCGGCCUGAGAGGGUGGACGGUCACACUGGGACGGAGACACGGCCCAGACUCCUACGGGAGGCAGCAGUGGGGAGUAUUGCACAAUGGGCGCAAGCCUGAUGCAGCGUCGCCGCGUGAGGGAUGGAGGCCUUCGGGUUGUGAACCUCUUCCGCCAGUGAAGCAGGCCUGCCUCGUUUGUGGGUGGGUUGACGGUAGCUGGAUAAGAAGCGCCGGCUAACUACGUG